AGACCUUUUCCGGCGAUCCUCUUCACACUUCCAAUAUCCAGACCUUUUCCGGCGAUCCUCUUCACACUUCCAAUAUCCAGGUAUGCUUCCGCAGUGUCAAGCGAGGGGACCAUAGCAGAGAUAGAGGUGGAUUGAACAUGUGAAGCUAUUGAAGCGCUG